CAAACCCUAACCUUCUUAAGUCAUUCUCUGUCCUAACUAUUCCCAAGCUCUACCCAUUCUCUCAUUCUCUUAAUGGCCAUCGUUCUUUCAUCGCUUUCCGUCAUCGUUAAUCACUUCUCCAAAAUGAAGAAGACAAUGCUCUUUCUGGAGAACUCGAUUUGAUACUCCACCUCAUGGUUAGAUAGUUUUGUCCCUCGUGAUCUAUCUUUGUGCUCACGCCAUCUUUGUUCAAUCCCUAACCCCUAGCUUCCUCGACGCUACUUUCUGAGCAAAAGCCCUCGCUGUCUCUAAACUUGUCGUUGAACUAUCUCCAUCACCAUCUCCGUUGCUUAUGAAAAAGUCAGGUAGCUUCGUGAUUCUCGCUCCUCGGGACCUUAUUACCCGUAAUAUGCAGGGUUUUCUUGUGAUACCAAUGAAACCGUACUAAAAAAUGCUUUCGAGAACAUUUAGAAAUAAUUGAAGAUAAUUUAUAGAGCGACCAAGUUCAGUGAUUUUGACUUUCUUUUUCUUUUUUAGAAAUUUCUUUUAAUAAAGCUAACUAAUUUAAAUUUUAUGUUUGAUUUAGUUAAGAUUAUAUGCUAUCGUUUGAGUAGGAAAUCAAAAGGGUAUGAGUUCGUGCAGUUCACAGCCUCUAGCUUUGAAGGAAAUGAAUGGUAAGUGCUUGCUGUACGUAGUUACAAAUUAGUAUGGGCUCCCUCUAUAAACUGCAGUACACUACCAGAGUUCUAUUCUUUUUAUCUUCCUUUGUCUUUCUCUUCAUUCUCAAAUUUAAUAUAUAUAACCUUUAAAAAAGAAUAUAAACACCAAUUAAGCUUUAUAAUUAGCUUAUCAUCACGCCUUUUUUUUUCUUUUCUUUUUUUAUUUUUUAGAAUGCAUGGAGUAGAAUUUAAAGAAGUAAUUUUUAUAGGAGUAGAUAAGUAAAUGUAAGCAGAGAAGAAGCAACAAGUUAGAACCAUAGCACUUUGAACCAUUUCAUUUUUGGGCACCCUUUUUUUAUAUUUUUGGAUUUGGAGCACACCUACCUGGAAAAGGCAUUACUAGUUAACCCUAUAACACUUUUCAACUUCUAAUUUUAUUUGGAUAGAUUAAUUAAGUCUAAUGGGUACAUAAACUGAUCCAUUUAAUUAAUCAUUUUUCUUCUUUAAUUUAGUCAUUAAGUUCUCUGCCCCUUAAUUUAAGAUUCUGCCAUUUGCAUUUAUUUAGUGAUAAUAAGGUAAGAAAGUUAUCAAUAUAUUAAUAUAUUGCAUGGCCUUUUUCAUUUAAUAAAAAAUAAAAACAGGCAUAGAUAUACAUUUUGAAUUUGGAAACUUUGGUUUCUAGAACCUAAAAAUAUAUGGAACUUUUUUGGAUGUUGGAUAUGUGCGCAUAAAAUAGCUUUUAUUGUUUGGAUAUAUUGUUCUUCUUUGUCCUUUAUGCUUGCUUGUUAAUGAUAUAAAGGAGACAGAGCGCUAUACCGACUGGGCUACAAACAUCACAGCUUCAAUCUCAGCAAUCAUUUUCACAAGGAAUUUCAUCUCAGCAUGUCUUGUUUUCUCAGCUCUCACAGAUACUCACACUGAUGCUCAUGGUUAUAGUACACCAUCAAAGUAGACUUCAGUUAAUUUGUAUUAACAUAUAUAAGUUUAUUAGUACCCAUUAGACUUACAGUUUGUAUUUGUAAGAAUUUCUAUUGUCUUGAUGCUUUAUAUAUACUUUAAAUUAUUUUAAUUUUAUGUUAA